UACGAAGGGGGCUAGCGUUGCUCGGAAUUACUGGGCGUAAAGGGCGCGUAGGCGGCCCUGUUGGUCAGGCGUGAAAUUCCUGGGCUCAACCUGGGGGCUGCGCUUGAUACGGCGGGGCUGGAGGGCGGAAGAGGCUCGCGGAAUUCCCAGUGUAGAGGUGAAAUUCGUAGAUAUUGGGAAGAACACCGGUGGCGAAGGCGGCGAGCUGGUCCGUACCUGACGCUGAGGCGCGACAGCGUGGGGAGCAAACAGGAUUAGAUACCCUGGUAGUCCACGCCGUAAACGAUGUGCGCUGGAUGUUGGGGCCCCUAGGGCUUCAGUGUCGCAGCCAACGCGGUAAGCGCACCGCCUGGGGAGUACGGCCGCAAGGUUGAA
rnacentral:rRNA from 1 species